GAGAGACGAGUGCAGUUUGUAGUUGAAACGAGGUGAUGCUGAGAAAUGAUGCUGUUGAGCUUCAAAAUGACGCAUGCGCAGUGAAGGCAGGGCGGACCGAU